rnacentral:lncRNA from 1 species
AACUGGGUGCGAUGGAGACGCGGGUCCCGGCCUGGGAGGCGGUGGCGCCCGGUGCCCGGAGGGACCGCGGCCCGGAGACUCCUCCCGGAGAGGAGAAUCAAACUUUGGUGACGCCGAGUGACUCCGGUUGGCCGGCUCCUCCCCGUGGGAACGCUGCGAGGCGACGUGGGUUUGGAGAGGAGGGGGAGCGAGUCUCUGUCCCCGGGGGUCUCGGUGCGCAGCCCCGCGAAGCCGAAGCUCCGCCCCCGGCUCCGGUCCCGCCUCCCCGGCUCCGGUCCCCAAGACCCCGGCCCUGCUCCACCUCCUCCAGCCGCGCUCCGCCUCCAAGGCAGCGGCUGUCACCGCGCACGGCCAUUGGCUGCUUCAACAGAGUCUGCCUGCGAGGGCUGGGGGUCAGGAGGUGGGCUCCCCCUGCGAUCCAGAUAGUGCAGGAGGACCCUCGCACCUAGGAGCUCCCUGCUGGCUAGUGCUUAGCCCGACUCCAGCGGGCGCCUCGAGUACAAAACCCCACCGCGCAUAGGGGUCCUCAGUCCCCAAAGUCGGCCUGUGCCCCACCCGGAUUCCAGCUCAUCCUGAGGACCCUUUGAGCCCUGCAGGUCUACCCUCUCAUUUGUUCCACUGUCUACCACUACUCCGUGCUACCCUACCCUGUGCUCCAGCAGAGACUAAGGUGACUUCAGCCGACAAAGCAAAAGCAUCCUUGGUCUCCAAAGCCGCUGCCUGACCGGCCUCUACCCUUCGAGCUGAGACAAAAACUUCAUAUCGCAGUGCAAGAUGGAAAUUUGGAUCUCAGUCCCAAGACUUGAUUCUGAGCUCUGUUCGUCCUUUGGCCUCGCCAAACCCAGUUGUCCAUCAGACCUCAGGCCAAGCCAGGAGAGAUUAUCCUGAAUCUGCCCUCGCCCGCUUCUCUUCUGUUCCCAGGCUGGACGUGGAGCCCCUUGAGCUUCCUCCAUUGAAAAGUACCCUCCACAUACAUAACUCUAAGUUCCUAGAAGCCCUUUGUCCUUCAGAACAGGAAGUUUUGUUUUUGUUUCUUUUUGAAUUGCUGGCCUGCAAUUCGCUAUGUAGACCAGUCUGGCUUUGAACUCAUAGAGAUCCUUCUGCCUCUUCCACCUUGAAUGCUAGGAUUAAAGGCAUGUGCCACAUUUUAGCCCAUUUACAAAUUUUGGAGGCCCAGAGGUUGCAGUAGCCCCCACCCUAACCUCUGUUUAGUGUCUGAGGCCAGAAGAAACAAUGUAUACAUUUUAUAUAAGUUUUGAUACAGUAUAUAAUUAGAACAAUACUACUUUACUUUAAAAAAAAACUUACUCUUGUACAGGGCCUAAUUUAUACAUUAAACCUUUUCACAGAUAAAUAUAUAAAGG